rnacentral:tRNA from 1 species
GGUUCCAUAGUGUAGCCGUUAGCUCAUCUGCUUUACAUGCAGAAGGUCCUGGGUUCACAUAUCAGUGGAGCCA